rfam:Tupaia chinensis contig100931, whole genome shotgun sequence.
GAAUUUACCUGUCAGCACAUACACUAAAAUUGGAACAAUAUAGAGAAGAUUAGCAUGGCCCCUGUGCCUGGA